GUCGAAACAGCUUCUCUCGGAACACCGUUUGCUUCUGUGGGGCCUCGAAGAGAAAAUGCUCACGUUGAGAUUCUGGAAGAAGCCAUGAAGGGGAUGCAACUUGGCCUCCUGAUAGGUUGUGAGAGUGGUGAACCAGAUGCUAUCCCACGCGAGGUCUUCGAUGUGGCAGUUGUUGUUGAAGAGACCAUUGUUCUUCACAACAUUAAAGAUGUUGUAGUUGCAUUUUCAUUGCUUAUGGGUGUCAUCUAUUGCAUGGAUCUUGAGUAUCCGUAUGCCAUGAAGUAUACAUUUGAGUUUCUUCAGAGAGUAGUUAUGAAGAUCAAACCAGACCAAGCUUCAGCCAGAGUCCAUGGACUAAGGAACAAAAUCCUGAGAGACUGGGACCAACCAGAGAGCAGAUUCUUGAAGCUAAAGAUUUGUGGUUCCUCCAUCGUGAAGUCUGGAAGCUGAGCUCACUGUAGGAUCAAGGUGGAUCUACAUCAGAGGCUGCAGGGUCUCCCCGUGAACUUUUAACUGUCUGACGCUGCCUUUAGAAGAGGACAACACUGUCUACUGUGAGGACAUCUACAGUCAUCACCAUGGCAACUUCAUUAUCGACAACAAUGGAUCACUUAAAUUUAGCUUUGUUAAAUGUAGAUGGCCUUAGAAACAACAAAAAAAAGAUUAGAAAGUUAAUUAGAGACCAUAACAUAAACGUGCUGGCUGUUUGUGAAACUAGAUUAAAUGACCAGGUAACAGAUGACCACAUUCAUAUUGAAGGUUUUAACGUUCAAAGAAAGGAUAGAAAUCACAAUGGAGGUGGUGUUGCGCUCUAUAUUCAGAAUCACUUAGAAAUGACACCCUAUAGGGAUGGCCUGGACGCUGAUGUUGAGAUCAUUUGGGUUGAGCUCAGUCUUCCCGGUACCAGACCCAUCUUAGUGGGUUGUUGUUACCGACGUCCCAUUAAACCGGUAAGCCAUUUGCAUGCAAUCUGUGACAUAAUGCAACAGGUGGCAGGGGAAAAUCAAAAAGACAUUUACUUGAUGGGCAACUUCAACAUUAACUGGAACGGAGAUUCUUCUAACAAGAGAAUAAUUCAAGAAGCAGCCCAACGAUGUGGUUUAACACAGAUUGUAACGAAAACCAGCAGGGAGGAAAAUCCAGGAUCAAUUAUCGACCAAAUCUACACAAACAUUCCAGAGUUACACGGUCAACCAGAGUCCACCAGUGUACUGCUUAUUGAUCAUAACCUCAUUACUGUCACAGUCAACCGAAACCCAAAUCUUGUAAAUGAAAACCCAACUAAUGAUCUUGCAAAUGAAAACCCAACUAAUGAUCUUGCAAAUGAAAACCCAACUAAUGAUCUUGCAAAUGAAAACCCAACUAAUGAUCUUGCAAAUGACAACCCUAAUGACGACCUUGCAGAUGUAAUGGGAAACCUAACCAUUUAUAAGCCUUGACUGUUCUUUUUAUAACCUGGCAAAAGCACCCUUUCGUUUUGAGUGUUAUUCCAUAGGAAACCAUGUGUUACGUCCACUGACCUAUAGGGGGCUCUCUUACUAGGAGAGAGUUUCUUGUUUUUGUGUCUCUUGUUUGUUUGCGGCCUGCUGUUCCUCCUCAUGAACAGAUGAAGUCAGUUCCUCCUCAUCAGUGGACUGCAUAAAAGCUUCAGUCACCCAGUGCCGCUCCUCUUCUCUUUGGACUCUGAUUUUAGUUGACUGAGAAACUCAAUUCUACGUAAUGAUUGUCUGGCAAUAAUGUUGUGAUUAAUUUUCCUGUUUUGGUGAAUUGUUGGAUGUUAGAGGUCUUGUAUUAGAUGGGAGGUUUGGUAGGGUUUCCACUAUUUUCUUUAAACUAUGUUUUCUCCUGUAUUGUGACCAGACAGGCAAUUUAAGUAUUGUACUUUUUUUUUGUUGGUUAGAUGAGACUUGCUUUUAUUUAUUAGUCAGAAGGGAUAUUUUUGUUUGUUAUUUUGUCUUUGGAGACCCUGAUGUUUAUUGCACCCUAAUUAUUUGUUAAGCUCUGUUUUUAGAAAUAAUUCAUUUUUUAACUAUGAGCAGAGUUUGUUCAGUAGUUUUAAGUUUGUUAGUUGAUGAAUUUACUUUAUUAAUUUUGUGUUAGCCCUUAUUACUCCUAGACUUCCAUGUAGGGGUUGUAACCCCAUAGCUGUCACUGUAAUGAAUCCACAUCAAAUAGUGUUGACUGUUACUGUUGUUACCAUGCCCUAAAUACACAUUUACCAUCUUUAAAGAUUUGUUUUACCUGCUGUUUUUUAACAUA